GCGCUUGAAUAUCAUGCCGUCAACAAUCUGGAGAUCAGAUUCAAACUCCACCGUUUUAAAACCCAGGAUACUACUCGGAUCCACUUCCAGCUCUUCAAUACUGCGCGACAAUGUACCUGCCACUACAUUGUCCGCUCCUUUCCGGUGUUCUAUGCCGAACCGAACCGAAGUUGAAGGGACCAACGAGCUAAGCGACCAUCCAGGUUCUUCAUGGUCAUGAGCCAUUUGAGACUGGCGUGGUCAGUUAUGACUGUAAACGGCAUAAGCUCUACGUACGGACGGAACUUAAGGAUCGCCAUGAGGGCUGCCAAACACUCCUUCUCUGUCACCGAGUAGUUUUUUUUGGUUGCAAUUCAGUUUGGCAGAGAAAAACGCUAUGGGCCUCUCGUUCUGCUCGUCAUCCCGUUGGAAGAGUACGGCUCCUACCCCAUAAUGUGAGGCGUCGCACUGUAUGUAGAAGUGCCGCUUGAAAUCCGCGUGUACCAGGACUGGUGCCGAGGGCGUCUGUGAGCGGACCGGCCAUCUCAGCAUAGUUUUUCA